GCCGCUGGGGGCGCUCGUGCGACGAAGGCCGACGGACGGCGAGAGAGAGUGGGAGGAACUACAACUCCCGGCGUGCACAGCGCGGGCCAGUGCCUCCGGGGCUUGUGGCUGUGCCCGCGAGCGGCUGGGGUCUCCAGCCAGUGGGAUAACGCAUAUUGACUGAUCUUUCAGAGACGUUUGUACCCGUUCAAAGGGUCUCACUCUGUUGCCCAGGUUGGAGUGCAAUGGCAUGAUCAUGGUUCACUGGAGCUUCAACCUCCCAGGCUCAGAGAUGGGGUUUUGCCAUGUUGCCAGGCUGGUUUUGAACUCCUGGACUCAAGAAAUCUGCCUGCCUCCGCCUCCCAAAAUGCUAGGAUUACAGAUGUGAGCCAGUAUUUUUUUAUUUUGUCAGUAACUUGUUUAACUACUCAUGUUAAUCUCUAUAUUCUUCUUACAUAGUAGAACAGAUGUUGACAAAUGUUUAUUUACUAUUCAUAAGUUGAUGGAGUUUUGGUAUUAAAAAAAGUAAGUUAAACCAUCUGUGUAAUAAAAGAAGAUCAUUUUCUUUUUUGAAAAAAAGAUCAACAUCCUGCUUGUUAAAGACUCAGGAGAAGUUUGAUCAUUUACCUUGAUAGGGGAUAGAGGCUAGUAAAGACCAAGAAAGAGGAAGAGAGAGAUGGUAAAGCAUGGACAAGGCUGCCAGAAAGUGUUGCUACUGGAAGAAAAGUAUAUUAUUUCACUUUGGGUUUUUUUGUGUUUUGUUUUUACCAGAGACAGGGGCUCACUCUGUUGCCCAGGCUGGAGUGCAGUGGCACGAUCAUAACUCCUGGGCUCAAGCGAUCCUCCCACCCUGGCCUGCCAAGUAGCUGGGACCACAGGCACUUUUUAUAGAAAUGGGGUCUUGCUUUGUUGCCCAGGCUGGUCUCAAAUUCCUGGCCUCAAGCAAUUCUCCCUCUGUAGCUUCUCAAAGUGCUGGGAUUAAAGGUGUCAGCCACCAUGCCCAGUCUGUAAUACUUCACUUUCUAUAGCAGAAGUUCAGUUUUUUGAGAGCAUAUCAUGCUUGCAACUGAAAAAAAAAGUUUAAUUUCUUAAAAAGAGGUUUUUAUCUUAUUAACACAAAAAGAAUUAGAACAUUAUAUUUACUUACUUGUAAGUUUCAGAUGAGAAACUUAAAAAAUGGGGAGGGAAGCUUCUGCAGCCUACCAUUAUAAAAGAACAGAGCAACUCUAGUUGCAAUACCUCAGAUUCUGAUAAGCAUUACCAGAAGCCUCAGGGCAAACUGUGAACAUUGUUUCUUGAUUCAUAAAAGAGGAGGAAAAAAAAAGAAAUCUAGGAAAUAGUUGGUAGAAUUGGUUUUUCCUUGGCUUUAAAAAAAAUUUCAGCAAAGUUUGAAUGCUUUCAGGAUGUCUAUAUCAAGAGAAUGGAAUGUUUUGCAGCAUGUCUAUAUUCAGGAGAAUGAAAAGCGUUAAGUAGAAGCCAAAUGAAAGAAUGCUUUGU